GCUGCAGCAGCUGGGGUCAAAGGUCACCAGGGCUGCAAAUAGACUAGCUGAUCUGCUGUCAGACUGUCAGGAGGCUCAGGAGCACCUGGAUUCUCUCACCUGUCAGGAGCAGCGCAGCGUCUGGCUGCCAGGGGGCAGCAGAGAGCUGGAGGGCAGGAGGAGACGCACUGACAGGUCUGGGACCAGAACGUCCUGUCCGCCCUUCAUCAUUUGAGGGGGCGGAGCUGCAGAAGAAGGCGGA